rnacentral:rRNA from 1 species
GACGAACGCUGGCGGCGUGCUUAACACAUGCAAGUCGAACGGAAAGGCCCUGCUUUUGUGGGGUGCUCGAGUGGCGAACGGGUGAGUAACACGUGAGUAACCUGCCCUUGACUUUGGGAUAACUUCAGGAAACUGGGGCUAAUACCGGAUAGGAGCUCCUGCUGCAUGGUGGGGGUUGGAAAGUUUCGGCGGUUGGGGAUGGACUCGCGGCUUAUCAGCUUGUUGGUGGGGUAGUGGCUUACCAAGGCUUUGACGGGUAGCCGGCCUGAGAGGGUGACCGGCCACAUUGGGACUGGGAUACGGCCCAGACUCCUACGGGGGGCAGCAGUGGGGAAUAUUGCACAAUGGGCGGAAGCCUGAUGCAGCAACGCCGCGUGCGGGAUGACGGCCUUCGGGUUGUAAACCGCUUUCGCCUGUUACGAAGCGUGAGUGACGGUAAUGGGUAAAGAAGCACCGGCUAACUACGUG